UACGAAGGGGGCGAGCGUUGUUCGGAAUUACUGGGCGUAAAGGGCGCGCAGGCGGCGAGUUUUGUCAGGCGUGAAAGCCCCGGGCUCAACCUGGGAACUGCGCUUGAAACGGGCUUGCUGGAGACCGGGAGAGGAGAGUGGAAUUCCCAGUGUAGAGGUGAAAUUCGUAGAUAUUGGGAAGAACACCGGUGGCGAAGGCGGCUCUCUGGACCGGAUCUGACGCUGAGGCGCGAAAGCGUGGGGAGCAAACAGG
rnacentral:rRNA from 2 species